AUGGCGGCCGUGCAGCUGGUGGAGUCCGGAGGGGGCCUCCAGACACCCGGGGGGUCCCUCACCCUCCGCUGCAAGGGCGCCGGCUUCACCUUCAGCAGCUUCACCAUGGGAUGGGUGCGACAGGCCCCCGGGAAGGGGCUCGAGUGGGUCGCGGUUAUUUACAGUAGUGGUAGCGCCUACUACGCGCCGUCGGUCAAGGGGCGCUUCACCAUCUCCAGGGACGACUCCCAGAGCACGCUCACGCUGCAGAUGAACAGCCUCCGGGACGACGACACGGCCACCUACUACUGCGCGAAAAGUACUGGUGGUUGUGGUUAUGGUGGUGGCAGCAGCCCCGGCACCGUGUCCCCACGUCCCGGCAUCUCCCUCAAACCCUUGCACAAAGGCCCAGGUCUCGGAGCGAGUCCGGGCCCUCGCACCGACCACAAAACCCUUUAUCCCCCCCAAAGCCUUGGCUUUUGGCCCAAAUCUGGGUCCUGACUGUCUUCUACAGGGGCUCUGGCUCCAUCUCCAGCAGCUCCGCCAUGGACUGGGGGCAACUCUCCACCUCUUUUGGCCAAAACCUUCACUGUUUUUCCCAAACCUGACCAUUUUGGCCCUAAACCUCGAGGGCUUUUGUCCCAAAUAUCGUUCGCUUGCCCAAAUCUCAACCGUUUGCCCCAAACCCCAACCAUUUGCCCCAACACUCUAAUGGUUUUGCCCGAAAUCUUGACUGUUUGCCCCAAACCUUGACUGCUUUUGGCCUAGAUCUCGACUGUUUCUCUCAAACUUUAACCAUUUUUGUCCAAAAUCUCAACCAGUUUUUGCCCUUGACCGGUUUUGGCCUAAAUCUCAACCAUUCGUCCCAAACCUUGACUGGUUUUUGCCCCAAAAAUCCACCAUUUCCCCCAAACCUUGACUGGUUUUGGCCUACAUCUUGACUGUUUGUCCCAAACCUUGACUGGUUUUCCCCCCAAAAUCCACCAUUUGCCCCAAAAAUCCACCAUUUGCCCCAAACCUUGACUGGUUUUGGCCUAAAUCUCAACUGUUUGUCCCAAACCUUGACUGGUUUUUGCCCCAAAAAUCCACCAUUUGCCCCAAACCUCGACCAUUUCCCCUAAACCUUCACUGGUUUUGGCCUAAACCUCGAUUGCUUGCACCAAACUUUGACCAUUUUUGCCCAAAAUCUCAACCAGUUUUUGCCCUUGACGGUUUUGGCCUAAAUCUCAACCCUUUGUCCCAAACCUUGACUGGUUUUGGCCUACAUCUUGACUGUUUGCAGCAAACUUUGACUGGUUUUGCCUCAAAAAUCCACUAUUUGCCCCCAAAAUCCACCAUUUUCUCCAAACCUUGACGGGUUGUGGCCUACAUCUCGAUUGCUUGCACCAAACUUUGACUGGUUUUGCCCCAAAAAUCCACCAUUUCCCCCAAGUUUCGACCCUUUUUGCCCCAAACUUUGACCGUUUGCCCCGAAACUUGACCGUUUUUGCCCCAAAUCACGAUGAUUUGCCCCAAACCGCGAUCAAUCCCAGCAUCCUUCCGAUGCCCUGAGACUGGAUCCCUGCUGGGUACCAGACCCUGGCCCUAAUGAACUUAAUUAUUAGCCUUAAUUAAGAGGCCCUGGGGGAUAAAUUUAUUUAUUAGCCCUAAUACACUUAAUUAUUAGCCCCAAUGACGUCAUUAUUAGCCAUAAUUUAGGAGGGAUGGGGGGUAAAUUUAAUUAUGAGCCCUAAUAAACUUAAUUAGUAGCCCCUACUAGUCUUAAUUAUUAUCCCUAAUUUAGCGGGGCUGGGGAACAGACUUAAUUAGAAGCCCGAAUAAACUUAAUUCUUAACCCUGAUGUAGGUGGGCUGGGGAAUAAAUAAUUAGGGCUGAAUUAUUAGCCCUCAUUUAGGAGGGAUGGGGAAUAAAUUUAAUUAUUAGCCCUAAAAGACAUAAUUAUUAGCCCUAAAAGAUGUAAUUAUUAGCCUUAGUUUAGGGAGGUUGGGGAAUAUAUUUAAUUUUGAGGCCUGACAGACUUAAUUAUGAGGCCUAAUUUAUGGGGGCGGGGGGAAAAUUUAAUUAUAAGGUGGAAUAAACUCAAUUAUUAGCCAAAAUAGAGGUAAUUAUUCGCCCUAAUAGAGGUACGAGCCCUAACGAGGCGGGAGCCGGGGGGGGUCGGUGGGUAAAUUUCAUGAUACUCCCCCAAAAUCCAGGUGCCGAGAGCAGCAGCUGUAAUCAACCCCCCGCCGAAAACGAGAAAAAGGCCUAAAUUUGGAGGGGGGAGGGGGAAAAAAAGGCCCUUUUUAGGGUUUCGGGGCCACAAAUAGCUGUUUUUGGCGGUGGUGGUGGCAGCUGCGCGGGGAAAACCCCCAAAACGGGCGGGUUUAGCAGAGAAAAAGGGGCCGGCACCGCACGCCGCCAGCCCCGAAAAUACAGAGAUUAGGGGUCAAGUCACAUCUUGU